UCCGAUUUGUCACCGGCAGUCUCCUAUGAGUCCCCGUCUUUCACGCUGGCAACAUAGGACAGGGGUUGCGCUCGUUGCGGGACUUAACCCGACACUUCACAGCACGAGCUGACGACAGCCAUGCAGCACCUGUGCUUGUUCCACCCUUGCGGGUGUGGCUCCUCUUUCAAGGAGUUAAUCCAAGCAUGUCAAACCCAGGUAAGGUUCUUCGCGUUGCUUCGAAUUAAGCAACAUGCUCCACCGCUUGUGUGAGCCCCCGUCAAUUCCUUUGAGUUUUAGCCUUGCGACCGUACUCCCCAGGCGGCACACUUAUCAAUUUCUCUACGACCAGAACGACGUCAGAGCCGCUCCAGUCUAGUGUGCAUCGUUUAGGGCGUGGACUAC
rnacentral:misc_RNA from 1 species